UACGUAGGGUGCGAGCGUUGUCCGGAAUUAUUGGGCGUAAAGAGCUUGUAGGCGGUCUGUCGCGUCUGCUGUGAAAAUCCGGGGCUCAACCCCGGACUUGCAGUGGGUACGGGCAGACUAGAGUGUGGUAGGGGAGACUGGAAUUCCUGGUGUAGCGGUGAAAUGCGCAGAUAUCAGGAGGAACACCGAUGGCGAAGGCAGGUCUCUGGGCAGUAAACUGACGCU
rnacentral:rRNA from 1 species